rnacentral:rRNA from 1 species
AGAGUUUGAUCCUGGCUCAGAUUGAACGCUGGCGGCAUGCCUUACACAUGCAAGUCGAACGGCAGCACGAGAGCUUGCUCUUGGUGGCGAGUGGCGAACGGGUGAGUAAUAUAUCGGAACGUACCCUAGAGUGGGGGAUAACGUAGCGAAAGUUACGCUAAUACCGCAUACGAUCUACGGAUGAAAGUGGGGGAUCGCAAGACCUCAUGCUCAUGGAGCGGCCGAUAUCUGAUUAGCUAGUUGGUGGGGUAAAAGCUCACCAAGGCGACGAUCAGUAGCUGGUCUGAGAGGACGACCAGCCACACUGGAACUGAGACACGGUCCAGACUCCUACGGGAGGCAGCAGUGGGGAAUUUUGGACAAUGGGCGCAAGCCUGAUCCAGCAAUGCCGCGUGAGUGAAGAAGGCCUUCGGGUUGUAAAGCUCUUUUGUCAGGGAAGAAACGGUGGACUCUAAUACAGAUCACUAAUGACGGUACCUGAAGAAUAAGCACCGGCUAACUACGUGCCAGCAGCCGCGGUAAUACGUAGGGUGCAAGCGUUAAUCGGAAUUACUGGGCGUAAAGCGUGCGCAGGCGGUUGUGCAAGACAGAUGUGAAAUCCCCGGGCUCAACCUGGGAAUUGCAUUUGUGACUGCACGGCUAGAGUGUGUCAGAGGGGGGUAGAAUUCCACGUGUAGCAGUGAAAUGCGUGGAGAUGUGGAGGAAUACCGAUGGCGAAGGCAGCCCCCUGGGAUAACACUGACGCUCAUGCACGAAAGCGUGGGGAGCAAACAGGAUUAGAUACCCUGGUAGUCCACGCCCUAAACGAUGUCUACUAGUUGUCGGGUCUUAAUUGACUUGGUAACGCAGCUAACGCGUGAAGUAGACCGCCUGGGGAGUACGGUCGCAAGAUUAAAACUCAAAGGAAUUGACGGGGACCCGCACAAGCGGUGGAUGAUGUGGAUUAAUUCGAUGCAACGCGAAAAACCUUACCUACCCUUGACAUGUCUGGAAUCCUUGAGAGAUCAGGGAGUGCUCGAAAGAGAAUCAGAACACAGGUGCUGCAUGGCUGUCGUCAGCUCGUGUCGUGAGAUGUUGGGUUAAGUCCCGCAACGAGCGCAACCCUUGUCAUUAGUUGCUACGAAAGGGCACUCUAAUGAGACUGCCGGUGACAAACCGGAGGAAGGUGGGGAUGACGUCAAGUCCUCAUGGCCCUUAUGGGUAGGGCUUCACACGUCAUACAAUGGUACAUACAGAGGGCCGCCAACCCGCGAGGGGGAGCUAAUCCCAGAAAGUGUAUCGUAGUCCGGAUUGUAGUCUGCAACUCGACUACAUGAAGUUGGAAUCGCUAGUAAUCGCGGAUCAGCAUGUCACGGUGAAUACGUUCCCGGGUCUUGUACACACCGCCCGUCACACCAUGGGAGCGGGUUUCACCAGAAGUGGGUAGCCUAACCGCAAGGAGGGCGCUCACCACGGUGGGAUUCGUGACUGGGGUGAAGUCGUAACAAGGUA